UAUAAAUAUAUAUUAUUUAAUGUCACAACCAAUGACAGUGGCAAGUAAAAAUCUCCUCAAACAAUUUUAUAUCAUAAUAUUAUACAAAGAAGCAGUAAAAAUCUACAAAAUGAUGUACAUAUUGCCCAUGAUAGCGGGAGUAACAGCCCUUUCCUGUUUUUACUGCUUCUGCCGUAGAAGAUGUUAUUAAAAAUCACUUGAAUGAACUUACUGAAGUCAUUUUAAAUAUAUUAUUGAAUGCAGAGUGGCGCAAUCAGAAAGAACCCAUUGAAUCUAAAUUUGUAUUUCAGUAACAUUCGGAAGUUUGACCGUGCUUGUUUUUGCGAUAAAUACAAACUUGUCGAGUAGGUACAGAAUCAUCGUGCUGGUUACGAUCGGUCAGCGUCGACAACAGAGCGUACAGAUGUUCCAUUCCUUCCUAUGGGACCACGAACGAGAUGCAUUCGCUUCAUACAAUUACGAGAACUGUCACAUCUUCGCUAAUGUCGUUGUGUAUUGUAUUUAUUUCGAUUAGUCAUAUUUUGUGUAUAGAUUGAUUUAAAAAAAUUAUGGUAUCUAAA